rnacentral:lncRNA from 1 species
AAUAGUUCACUCUCCUUCAGCGUUCAGAUCCUGAGAGUUUUAUUGAGCGCCAUUAAUUUCUUCUCUCUUUUGGGUUUUAAGCGCCAUGAAUUUCGAAAACCUCAAAUCACAAAACCGAUGGUGAUGAUAAAAAAUUCGACUGCCGAAGAGAAACUGGAAUCAGAGUCGUUUGUCACUCGUAUUAAUCCGAGGCAAAUCGAACCCCUUGAAGCAUAAGAUUUCCUUCUUUACCACUUCCAUUUGAUUCCAGCUCCUUCGCUAUUCGCUUCAUAUACUCCUGAGCUAGCCUCAGCGAGCUGUAUUUUAGCUGCAACAAGGCGACAAAACUCCAUUCUGAUUGAUCUUGUUCCCCAUAUGAGACUCUCUCUUCGUCAGGGCACGAUAAAACUCUACGACUUCUGGAGCACGCCGCACAGAUCUUUUUCCAAGUGUUCUCUUUGAUGGAAGUGGUGGAGGUGGUGGCGGCUUUGUUGCUGUAGACUGACCUUGGAUCGUUGGCUUGGGAUUUGGAUUUCUGACCUCUUGACCCUUUGUGUUGGAUUUGACACUCUCUGGCGCUUUCAGCUUAUCGUUCCUCACUAGAUAGGCUUGAAGCUCCUUCACCAGACGCAGGAGAUCUGAAUCAUCUUCUCCAUUAGAUUAAGUUUGAAGAUCCUCUGAGUCCGCAAAUAAGUCACAGUCCCAGCCAUGGAUCGAUCCCU